GGCGCAGUAACACCCUCCCUCUCCCAUUAUGAGAGUGAGAAGGGGAGCGGACUUUUCAGGCGAGUCGAAGUACUCCCAAAAGUGCCAUUACGCCAUAAAAUAUAGUUCCUCUUUUAAAUCCGCUUAGAAAAGUGCUACAUUUUAAUUUUGUACCACCAAACUUGCUCGUAUAACUACUCGUCUUAAAUAGGAUGUGUCUUAAAAUGUGUUUGGUCACUUGUAACUUUAUCUCUAAAUGGUAGCAUUGAAUGAAUGGGGCUAAGCUAAAUGCUAUCGAAGCGUCGCAGCGCGCUCCAACGCUUACAUGCACGCACACAUGAAUUAAAAUUAAAAGAAUUAAAAUUAAAAAUUAAAAGCUCAUCAGGCACCAUAAAAAGACAAACAGACAACAGCAAAAGACCUUAAAAAAACAUUAAAGAGUAACUAAACCCUAAACCAACUUUUUUUAGUUAAUGAUCUGUAAGAAUGAUGCUUUAUUCGUGCUGUUCGUUAAUUUUUGGAAGUUUUUUGACAUUUGGAUAUGAAGUGUUUCAAUACUACAAUAUAUGGUGUAAAAACAAGGGAUGCACUGAUACCACUUUUUCCAUCUCCGCUGAAUUCUAAGUAUCGGCCAAUUCCGAUACCUGCCGAUCCGAUACUACUGUAUUUUUCUUGAGCAAUUUAAAUUACACACAGACACACACACAGACACACACACAGACACACACACACACACACAGACACACACACAGACACACACAUAAAUGUGUAUAGUGCUUUCUGCUAAAUCUAGCAUAAUAUAAUUAUAUUAUAUAUAAUUUUAAAUUUUAAAGUAAAAACCAAUAAUUUAAAAUGAUUUAUAAGUUACAAGAACAUUAGUAAUUAUUAACCAUGGCAGUGUUUAGGAGAAAAUAGAAUAGGCACGUUUGAUCAAAUAAGUAUGCUAAAUAUAUUUUCCUUAAUUGCAAAAAAGUCACAGUAAAAAAGCUUUGGUGCGCAGAUGGUUAUUUUGGGAAUUAUGUACUUAACCGGACCUUUUAUGCACAUUUCGGGUGCAGAAUUGAUGCGCUUAAAUCAUAUUGAGUGCGCAAUACUGUGCUUCCUGGGUGCAGCAUUGAUGCUCUAGAAGCAUCCUCACAUGGGAAUCCUCGCUCCGCAAUGGAAAGUUACGUUCAUAACUAUUGAAACACAAAGAGAUUAAAUGCAUCGUGUGCUCAGCACAUACUGAAUUGCAUCCACCCAACAGCUUACUGAGACUUUAUAAAAUCAGAUCUUUAAUAAACAUUACAGUUAUUGUGUGUGUGUUGAAUGACGCGCUUUCACUCGUCCGCUUCACCAGUGGAUUAACUCAGUUUGCAAGUAAUUACAGUGUUUCUGUGAACAUUAAUAUCUUUAAAUGUGCAUUUGUUCCUUCACAUGAAGCUAUUGAGUGUAAGAUGACUUUGAUUAUAGUGCAUAAAAACGUUUAUGGUGCUUUUAUAAUACUUUGUCGUUUUAAUUAGAGCCCGACCGAUAUGCAUUUUUUGGGGCCGAUGCCGAUACAGAUAUUAGAGAGUAAAAAAAGACCGAUAACGAUAUAUCGGCCGAUAUUCAUUAUGUGCAUAUUAUAGUACAGUACACAUAUACUACAGUAUAUUAUACUACUACAGUACUCUACAUAGAAUACACUAUAUACAUUAACAGAAUAUACUAUAUAUAAAUACUUUUUGCAAUGAUCACUCUAUGAUCACACCACAAAUGUGGUGAUCAAACACUUAAAAUGACGUGACAAAGAUAUGUAAUAUAGGCAGGUGUGUUUUACAAGUUAACAAUAAACUUUAUUAUCCAAAAUGAUUCUGAUAUAAGUGCACAAAACAGUAAAUUUGACUUAUUAUAAAUAACUUUAAAACACAAACAAAACAAAAUACAUAUAACUUAAACCAUUGUCAGUUUUAACGAGAAUAAUGUUAUAUUGGGCUUAUUUUAAAAAAUGGAAACUUAUAAAGUCAUUGUUAUAUUGGGCUUAGCUUUAGAGUAAGUUAUAGACUUCACAAAUUAAUUAAAAACUUACCGUUAAGACGACAAUGCUUGAAUUACUGACAACAUACUGAUGUAGGCUACACUGUAACAAAUUUCUGUAAUUUCUACAGCAAAAUUUUACAGUUACUUCUUGUUCUGUCAUUUUACAAAGUUUAGCUGUACAUUGCAAUGCAUUGUGGGUCAAAAAACGAUUACAGAAGUUGACAGCUUUUCCCCCACAAUAAAUUACAGGUAUAUUUGCGCUUGCUUGUAAAUGAUGCAGUAUUACAGUUAUUCACUGUUGAAUGAGUUGCACGAGGCAGCUUGACGCCAUUUUAUGUCGGAUUGCAGAGGAGCAGGGACAUUGCCACGCCACUCAUGCACAAAAUGUGUUGGCAACAGCAACAGACGUUGAAAAAACACUACAGUUUCCUGACUCUAAUUGUCUUAGGUGAAUCAGCGUUUGGAUGCUGAGCAUCGGGUGGUUGCGCCUCCACAUCCCAACUUCGUGGCUGGAAUGGCAGCUUUGUUUUCUAGCUACUACAACUUCAAUCUUGUGAACCAGGAGCAAGUGCACACUAGAGUUCAUUCAAAGGUAACUAUGUGCUUGAAGUACAAUGCAGUUUAUCAUUAUUUUGUAAAGUGUGCUAUUAUGAGUAACAGAGAUUUUAUUUUGCUUUAAGUGUGCUUACAGGAAAUCCCUUUAACAUGAUUUUUUUAGUUGAUAAAUUGGGUUAAGUUUGCAGUUAUUUACCCAAAUGCUUUAUAUCAUUGCAGAACCAAUUCAUUGUAACAUUCAAACAUUGACAAUAAAGAUUUAUUUGAUUAUAUAUUUUGAAAAGUAGUUCUGCAUUGGGGUAACUGAGCAUUUAGGUAAAUAAACUGCAAACUUGCUUUUUAUGGCAUUCACAAGAAAUCCCAUAUGCCCAUUUCAUAUGCCCACCCAGGCCUCACCCUCCCCACUAUGGCAGUGAUGCUCAAGGCAAACACACAAAAAAAGAUACUUUAAUUGUAGAUCUUUGGAUGGACCAGCCCAACAGCAGCAAACUUAGACAACCAAAGAACAUUAACCAAGACAUGUCUUGUGUUCCUCAAAAGAAUACAUUUAUUUUCCUGCUUUAGGGUGCCCUCUGACCACUCCCUACAUUGGAACAAUUUUGUCCAUUACAGACUGACAGUAUAACUACGUAGUGGAGCCUCGUAUCUACGUAUCUAGAAUGUUUUUCAAGUCUGAAAGCACUAUAAAGUUGCUUAAUACACUUAAUAUGGUGUAUUAUGUUAUGAAUACUAAAAUGUUAUAUUGUUGUGGUUUGUUUUAUGUUUUGUUGUCCUUUGAAGCAGGGGAUAGUCGGGAAAUUUUCAACCAGAGGACCUGCUGCUUGAGGUUAUGUUAAUGCAACUAACCUAACCAUAACUCAUGCAAUUUUGUGACUAGAAAUCCAAAUCAUCCCUUCAACUGCUAUGACUCUAUAUUUCACUAUAGUCAUUGCAUUGCAGAGCCACUUCCUGGUUUAGCUUGCCUGGACAGCACAACUAAAAUUAAAUGAAUAAUAAUUACCCACUGAAUUUUUCUGUUGCAGUUUUUCUGCACUUAAGCUGAAAAGGGCAAAUCAGCUUGAUUUGCACAGCCUGAUGUAUUUUGCACUCUCAUGUAGAGCAGUUAAGGCACUUUUUCAUAAAGUUUAUUUUCAUGUGAUUUUGUGAUUUCAGAUGCUUCAUUGGACUGAACCCCUCCAGUGGGACCAAGACAGCAAAGGUGGUUAGCCAAAAAAGAGGGAAGGUACAGGAGAAAAAGAAGAACUGCAUUAACCAUCACGUCUCCUCUCUACUUAAGCGGCUGAUAGAUUUUGAAUGGCUUCAAUUGUAAGUCUCAAGCGACUUCCUCACAAUAUGAAUGGACAUUGUUCUAAAUGUUUUCUGAAUUUCACUGAAUGUUAAGAAAAUGACAUUCUGAAAAUGUACAGUAUUGUAACACUGUAUUUUGUUUUAAUAAUAAAAUUUCAUGAUUUUGCAUCUUGGAGUAUGGUUUUAUUUAACAGUUGAAGAGAAUCUUAUCCAAUGGUGUUUGGAUUUAAAGCAAGCCUGGUCUUAUUUAAAACACUUUACAAUAGGCAUCAGCAAAGAUUAACUAUUUAUUUUUUACAACAACACAAUGUAUUGUAAAAUAUUUACAGAUUUUUGCUGGCAGCUCGAGUUGGCAGCAAAAAGAUGUAAUUAUUUCAAAACACAUUAUGUUGUUGUAAAAAAGAUUCUACAAUAACAUAUUGUAUUGUGAGGAAUUUACAGAUAUUACCUGGCAACUCUAGUUGCCAGGUAAUAUCUGUAAUUUGAAAAGAAAACAAGAUAAUGUUGUAAACUAAAUUACAAUAAAGUAGUGUUUUAAUAUAAAAACCUAAUACUUUGCUGUAAUUUAUGUACAACAAUAACCUGUAAACGAAAUCCAGUAUUAUACUGUAAUUCAUUUUUACAGUUAUUAAAAGCAAAUUCACAAAACUUUACAAGAUAUUACUGGCAACUUUUUUGCCAGGUACUUACUGUAAAAUCUACAGGCAAAUUCGUUACAGUGUAAUGUUUAAUGUACUGCACAACUUUUUUAUAACACGAACCCACAGUGUUCUGCCGGGACUUUAAACUUUUAUAAAACUAAAGCGUCUGCUCUCCGCCUCUUUUAUUUAAGAAAGGGUGUAAAGUUGCGCGAGCUUAUUUAACCAAUUGCUUUGAAAUGAGCAUGUAACAGCACAAGCAGCUGUACUCCCACAGACUGCGCAUCAGUUUAAGCGCGUCCUUUCUCCGCCUCGCGUCAUUUCUUCCGCUUGCGUUUGAAACAACUCGCAAGUGGACAAAAAAGACUGAUUAAAACCACCAAAUGUAAACAGGAAUGUGUCUCUCUCUUCCACUUAUAAUCCAAUCGACCAAAGCGCGUCUAAUACCAGGUGUAAAAUGUAUUGAAGAAACCGCGUGACUGCCGGCAAAACGAUAAAUCGGUCGGGCUCUAGUUUUAAUCGCUUGUCAGUGACAACCAUGGGUAACGUGCAGUAUCGGAAUUGGAUCAGUCCUGUUAGUCCGAUCCAGCAAAAAAGGCCGGAUCGGCCCCGAUACCGAUCCAGAAUAUCGGAUCAGUGCAUCCCUAGUAAAAACGUCCGAGUGCUGCCCUCUUCAGGUUGAAUGGUGGCUACUGCAGUUGAAUUUUUCCUAUUGGAUGUUGGGUCCAAAAAAUAACUUGUGACGUAAGCAGGUUCAAGCUCACCACGCCCUUGUUAUGAUCUCACCACACACUUGGUACAAGCUUAGUUUGUCCCCUCUAUCUCUGUUGGGAUCUGCCCACUUUUUUUGCAUUUUUCAAAUAUUACCAGUGGGUGGAGUCAAGCUCUGACCAGGGGUUUAGUUACGCUUUAAUAUCUUUGUUGAUUACCCAAGGGAUAGCCGUUUUGUAUUAAAUGCUUCUAACCACAUUUGAUAUCAAAAUGUAUUUCCCUUGUAUUACAUUAUUUGCUUUUUAUACUGUCUAUUCCAUUUCUUUUUAUACUCAGUUAAUUUAUACACAUAAUAAUUAGUGCUGGGUAGGGGUGUCACGAUUCUCCAAAUCCUCAUUUUCGAUUCUAAUGGCACGGUUCGAUUCUUGAUUUUACUUUUUUUUAAAGCAAAAAAAAAGGAUAU